GAGGUUGUGGCUCAGUGCUACAGCACUUGCCUAGCAUGCAUGAAGACCUUGGUUCAAUCCUCAGCACCACA
rnacentral:tRNA from 1 species